GCUUACCGUUCCUUUUAUCACUCAUAUGCUGCUUGCAGAAUCUAAUAAAAUCCAAGAACGGCAAUGACACCUAUAGGACACAGAUAAUUUUUUUUUUAAAAGCAGAACCAUAAACAAUAAGAACUCAAAUCAGCUAAUUUCCUGCUAGGUUGCUAGCCAAUCUGUUCAAUAAAUGAGAAAUGUUUUACCCUCUCAUGGCUUCUGAUAUCACCAUUAAAACAUGGAGCCGUCCUCGA